rnacentral:rRNA from 1 species
GAUGAACGCUGGCGGCGUGCCUAAUACAUGCAAGUCGAGCGAACGGACGAGAAGCUUGCUUCUCUGAUGUUAGCGGCGGACGGGUGAGUAACACGUGGAUAACCUACCUAUAAGACUGGGAUAACUUCGGGAAACCGGAGCUAAUACCGGAUAAUAUUUUGAACCGCAUGGUUCAAAAGUGAAAGACGGUCUUGCUGUCACUUAUAGAUGGAUCCGCGCUGCAUUAGCUAGUUGGUAAGGUAACGGCUUACCAAGGCAACGAUGCAUAGCCGACCUGAGAGGGUGAUAGGCCACACUGGAACUGAGACACGGUCCAGACUCCUACGGGAGGCAGCAGUAGGGAAUCUUCCGCAAUGGGGGAAAGCCUGACGGAGCAACGCCGCGUGAGUGAUGAAGGUCUUCGGAUCGUAAAACUCUGUUAUUAGGGAAGAACAUAUGUGUAAGUAACUGUGCACAUCUUGACGGUACCUAAUCAGAAAGCCACGGCUAACUACGUG